rnacentral:rRNA from 1 species
GACAGAGGAUGCAAGCGUUAUCCGGAAUGAUUGGGCGUAAAGCGUCUGUAGGUGGCUUUUCAAGUCCGCCGUCAAAUCCCAGGGCUCAACCCUGGACAGGCGGUGGAAACUGCCAAGCUGGAGUACGGUAGGGGCAGAGGGAAUUUCCGGUGGAGCGGUGAAAUGCGUAGAGAUCGGAAAGAACACCAACGGCGAAAGCACUCUGCUGGGCCGACACUGACGCUGAGACGCGAAAGCGUGGGGAGCAAACAGG